UAGGGAAUAUUGCAAAAUGGGCGAAAGCCCGAUGCAGCAACGCCGCGUGGGCGAUGACGGCCUUCGGGUCGUAAAGCCCUUUUUGAGGGGAUGAGGAAGGACAGUACCCUCAGAAUAAGCCUCGGCUAACUACGUGCCAGCAGCCGCGGUAAAACGUAGGAGGCGAGCGUUAUCCGGAUUUACUGGGCGUAAAGAGCGUGCAGGCGGAUUGGAGAGUUGGAUGUGAAAGCUCCCGGCUUAACUGGGAGAGGUCGUUCAAUACUUCCAGUCUUGAGUGCAGUAGAGGGAAGUGGAAUUCCAGGUGUAGUGGUGAAAUGCGUAGAUAUCCGGAGGAACACCAGUGGCGAAAGCGGCUUCCUGGACUGUAACUGACGCUCAGACGCGAAAGCUAGGGUAGCAAACG
rnacentral:rRNA from 1 species